UAAUACUUCGGUAUUCCAAUAGAAGUUUGUGUUUUCGUUAAUUGAAGGCCUUAAAGAGAUAAGUGUUGCAGUUUGGAACAGCAAUACAAAAGACGAUUUCAUUGGCAGCGGAAAGGUCCAAUUGGGGAAGGUUCUUUCAAAGGGUUACGACGACCGCACUUGGUGUCUGUAUACUAAUAAUGGGGGGUAAGUGCUAUAAAUUACUAACCCUUUUAAGUGUAUAAUUUGUUUCUAAAAUUAUCUAUAAUAUUUUGUCCUUCGAAAAUUUUAUCUCUUUAAUUUUAGUAUAUUGUGUUUCUUAAGCUAUAGACUGAUUUUCUUUGUUUCUUAUUUUCAAUAAUAAAUCAUUUUAUUGCAAUAUCGGUAAUUGUUUGAGAAAUCCAAUAUGUUCAUAUCUCUAUAGAAUAGAGAAUAGUAGAAGCCAAUUUUAUUACAACUACUUAAAUUGAGUUGACUUAAUUCCGUACAAUUACAAAGUAUAGCAUGAAAGAUAAUGGAAUUAAUUGUUGUAAUUUUUA